UUGGAGGGCAAGUCUGGUGCCAGCAGCCGCGGUAAUUCCAGCUCCAAUAGCGUAUAUUAAAGUUGUUGCAGUUAAAAAGCUCGUAGUUGAAUUUCGGGGUUAGUAGGUUGGUCAUGCCACUGGUAUGUACUGGUCUCACUGAUUCCUCCUUCCUGAUGAGCCGUAAUGCCACUAAUUUGGUGUUGCGAGGAAUCUGGACUGUUACUUUGAAAAAAUUAGAGUGUUUAAAGCAAGCUAACGCUUGAAUUCAUUAGCAUGGAAUAAUGAAAUAGGACGUUCGAUCCUAUUUUGUUGGUUUCUAGGAUUGACGUAAUGAUUAAUAGGGAUAGUUGGGGGCAUUAGUAUUCAAUUGUCAGAGGUGAAAUUCUUGGAUUUAUUGAAGACUAACUACUGCGAAAGCAUUUGCCAAGGAUGUUUUCAUUAAUCAAGAACGAAAGUUAGGGGAUCGAAGACGAUCAGAUACCGUCGUAGUCUUAACCAUAAACUAUGCCGACUAGGGAUCGGAUGAUGUUAUUUUUAAUGACUCAUUCGGCGCCUUACGGGAAACCAAAGUGUUUGGGUUC
rnacentral:rRNA from 1 species